AGAGUUUGAUCAUGGCUCAGAACGAACGCUGGCGGCAUGGAUUAGGCAUGCAAGUUGAACGAACCACUUCGGUGGUGAGUAGCGGAAGGGUGAGGAACGCGUGAGUAAUCUGCCCCCCAGUUGGGAAUAACAGUUGGAAACGACUGCUAAUACCGAAUGUGGCUCGAGUCCUGCAUGGGAUUCGGGCUAAAGAUUUAUCGCUGGGGGAUGAGCUCGCGUCCCAUUAGGUAGUUGGUGAGGUAACGGCUCACCAAGCCGACGAUGGGUAGCUGGUCUGAGAGGAUGGUCAGCCACACUGGGACUGAGACACUGCCCAGACUCCUACGGGAGGCUGCAGUCGAGAAUCUUGGGCAAUGCGCGAAAGCGUGACCCAGCAAUGCCGCGUGUAUGAUGAAGGCCCUCGGGUCGUAAAGUACUGUCUCCCGUGACGAAAUUUGACGGUAGCGGGGAAGGAAGCCACGGCUAACUACGUGCCAGCCGCCGCGGUAAUUC
rnacentral:rRNA from 1 species